GUAGGUGAACCUGCGGAAGGAUCAUUAACACGUAUCCAACGUUUAACCAACCGUGCACUUGUAUUUGUACCCACGUGAGUGGUUUAAAUUUUUAUUUUUGCGAGAGCUUUUCGAAAGAGAAGGGCUUGCUUGAAUAAAAAUUCACUCACGCUUUUUUACAACCCCAAAACCCCUGUAAACUUUAUGUCUAAUGUUUUAUUUUUGAGAGUAUGAUGUCUCUUUUUCUUUCGAGAGAAAGAUUGACUGACGCUUUCAAUUUACCCUUUUUACGAAAGUGAAAAGUUAAACACAACUCUUAGCAACGGAUAUCUUGGUUCUC
rnacentral:misc_RNA from 1 species